CCUACGGGAGGCAGCAGUGGGGAAUAUUGCACAAUGGGGGAAACCCUGAUGCAGCGACGCCGCGUGAGUGAAGAAGUAAUUCGUUAUGUAAAGCUCUAUCAGCAGGGAAGAAAAUGACGGUACCUGAGUAAGAAGCCCCGGCUAACUACGUGCCAGCAGCCGCGGUAAUACGUAGGGGGCAAGCGUUAUCCGGAUUUACUGGGUGUAAAGGGAGCGUAGACGGCAGUGCAAGUCUGUAGUGAAAGGCGGGGGCUCAACCCCCGGACUGCUCUGGAAACUGUACGGCUUGAGUGCAGGAGAGGUAAGUGGAAUUCCUAGUGUAGCGGUGAAAUGCGUAGAUAUUAGGAGGAACACCAGUGGCGAAGGCGGCUUACUGGACUGUAACUGACGUUGAGGCUCGAAAGCGUGGGGAGCAAACAGGAUUAGAUACCCCAGUAGUC
rnacentral:rRNA from 1 species